rnacentral:rRNA from 1 species
GACGAACGCUGGCGGCGUGCUUAACACAUGCAAGUCGAACGGAAAGGCCCUGCUUUUGUUGGGUGCUCGAUUGGCGAACGGGUGAGUAACACGUGAGUAACCUGCCCUUGACUUUGGGAUAACUUCAGGAAACUGGGGCUAAUACCGGAUAGGAGCUCCUGCUGCAUGGUGGGGGUUGGAAAGUUUCGGCGGUUGGGGAUGGACUCGCGGCUUAUCAGCUUGUUGGUGGGGUAGUGGCUUACCAAGGCUUUGACGGGUAGCCGGCCUGAGAGGGUGACCGGCCACAUUGGGACUGAGAUACGGACCAGACUCCUACGGGAGGCAGCAGUGGGGAAUAUUGCACAAUGGGCGGAAGCCUGAUGCAGAAACGCCGCGUGCGGGAUGACGGCCUUCGGGUUGUAAACCGAUUUCGCCUGUGACGAAGCGUGAGUGACGGUAAUGGGUAAAGAAGCACCGGCUAACUACGUG